rnacentral:rRNA from 1 species
GAUGAACGCUAGCUACAGGCUUAACACAUGCAAGUCGAGGGGCAUCAGUUUGGUUUGCUUGCAAACCAAAGCUGGCGACCGGCGCACGGGUGAGUAAACACGUAUCCAACCUGCCGUCUACUCUUGGACAGCCUUCUGAAAGGAAGAUUAAUACAAGAUGGCAUCAUGAGUUCACAUGUUCACAUGAUUAAAGGUAUUCCGGUAGACGAUGGGGAUGCGUUCCAUUAGAUAGUAGGCGGGGUAACGGCCCACCUAGUCUUCGAUGGAUAGGGGUUCUGAGAGGAAGGUCCCCCACAUUGGAACUGAGACGCGGUCCAAACUCCUACGGGAGGCAGCAGUGAGGAAUAUUGGUCAAUGGGCGAGAGCCUGAACCAGCCAAGUAGCGUGAAAGGAUGACUGCCCUAUGGGUUGUAAACUUCUUUUAUAAAGGAAUAAAGUCGGGUAUGUAUACCCGUUUGCAUGUACUUUAUGAAAUAAAGGAUCGGCUAACUCCGUG